UAUUGCACAAUGGGCGCAAGCCUGAUGCAGCGACGCCGCGUGAGUGAAGAAGUAUCUCGGUAUGUAAAGCUCUAUCAGCGGGGAAGAAGAAAUGACGGUACCUGAGUAAGAAGCCCCGGCUAACUACGUGCGAGCAGCCGCGGUAAUACGUAGGGGGCAAGCGUUAUCCGGAAUUACUGGGUGUAGAGGGAGCGUAGACGGUGAUGUAAGUCUGGAGUGAAAGGCGGGGGCCCAACCCCCGGACUGCUCAGGAAACUAUGUGACUGGAGUGCAGGAGAGGUGAGCGGAAUUCCUAGUGUAGCGGUGAAAUGCGUAGAUAUUAGGGGGAACACCAGUGGCGAAGGCGGCUCACUGGACUGUAACUGACGUUGAGGCUCGAAAGCGUGGGGAGCAAA
rnacentral:rRNA from 1 species